UCAAGUCAUCAUGGCCCUUACGAGUAGGGCUACACACGUGCUACAAUGGCGCAUACAAAAGAAGCGACCUCGCGAGAGCAAGCGGACCUCAUAAAGUGCGUCGUAUCCGGAUUGGAGUCUGCGACUCGACUCCAUGAACUCGGAAUCGCUAGUAAUCGUGGAUCAGAAUGCCACGUGAAUACUUCCCGGGCCUUUACACACCGCCCUCA
rnacentral:rRNA from 1 species